CNGGCGAUACGGGCACGACUAGAGUGCUGUAGGGGUAACUGGAAUUCCUGGUGUAGCGGUGAAAUGCGCAGAUAUCAGGAGGAACACCGAUGGCGAAGGCAGGUUACUGGGCAGUUACUGACGCUGAGGAGCGAAAGCAUGGGGAGCGAACAGGAUUAGAUACCCUGGUAGUCCAUGCUGUAAACGGUGGGCGCUAGGUGUGGGCUGUGUGUUUGCAGUCUGUGCCGUAGCUAACGCAUUAAGCGCCCCGCCUGGGGAGUACGGCCGCAAGGCUAAAACUCAAAGGAAUUGACGGGGGCCCGCACAAGCGGCGGAGCAUGUGGAUUAAUUCGAUGCAACGCGAAGAACCUUACCUGGGUUUGACAUGCACCAGAUCGGCGUAGAGAUACGUCCUCCCUUGUGGUUGGUGCACAGGUGGUGCAUGGUUGUCGUCGGCUCGUGUCGUGAGAUGUUGGGUUAAGUCCCGCAACGAGCGCAACCCUUGUCUUAUGUUGCCAGCACAUUUUUGGUGGGGACUCAUGAGAAACUGCCGGGGUCAACUCGGAGGAAGGUGGGGAUGACGUCAGAUCAUCAUGCCCUUUAUACCCAGGGCUUCACACAUGCUACAAUGGUCGGUACAACGGGUUGCGACACUGUGAAGUGAAGCUAAUCUCUUAAAGCCGGCCUCAGUUCGGAUUGGGGUCUGCAACUCGACCCCAUGAAGUCGGAGUCGCUAGUAAUCGCAGAUCAGCAACGCUGCGGUGAAUACGUUCCCGGGCCUUGUACACACCGCCCGUCACGUCAUGAAAGUUGGUAACACCCGAAGCCCAUGGCCUAACCACCGCUUUUGUGGUGGG
rnacentral:rRNA from 1 species